rnacentral:pre_miRNA from 12 species
AACUAAAUUCUUACCUGUUUCUGAUUUUAGGAGCUAGUAUUUCUUAGGCAGUCUCAAUUCUCUCAGUUGUCUGAAAGUGUCUAUCUUCAAAGCCUU